ACGAACCGUGCGAACGUUGUUCGGAAUCACUGGGCUUAAAGGGCGCGUAGGCGGCUCCGCCAGUCGGGGGUGAAAUCCCACGGCCUAACCGUGGAAGUGCCUCCGAUACUGCGGGGCUGGAGGGAGGUAGGGGCAGCGGGAACUUCGGGUGGAGCGGUGAAAUGCGUUGAUAUCCGAAGGAACGCCGGUGGCGAAAGCGCGCUGCUGGACCUCUUCUGACGCUGAGGCGCGAAAGCCAGGGGAGCAAACGGGA
rnacentral:rRNA from 1 species